ACUAGCAAUGUUUCUAAGAAACUUAUAUUAAUUAUGAAGAUAUAAAAGGGAGAGUAUGACUUGCUACUCAAUAUCUACUUGUUUAAUGGUAUCGGAUAGAAGUUUUGCAUCAUGUGUUCAUUGUCUUCAAGAUUACUCUAUAACUGCUGUUUUAACAAUAGACAGCAAUGAGCUAAAUGACUUAUUAUGUGAUAAGCACACUAAAAAUAAUAAAAAUUGGAAGAUUCCUCACGCAAAGUUUGUCCACAUGCUUGAUGAACCUUCAUUUAAUAUUCUAACUUGUCUUGAAGAAUGUGUUGAGUUUAUUGAGAAGUUUAUAAAAAAUAAAGAAAACGUUUUAGUUCAUUGCUUGGCUGGUCAAUCACGAAGUAUUUCCAUUGUCACAGCCUAUCUAAUGAAAAAUAAACACCUUAACUUAGAAGAUGCUCUGCGAUUUAUUCAGUGUAUUAAAGCGGAUGCUUUAUGUAGAAACUUGAUGUGACCAAUCAGGCAUGUAAAG
rnacentral:lncRNA from 1 species